UGUUCAACAUUUAAAAAAGAUCUUGGUGCUGCAAUACUCAAUGGAAAAGAAAUAGACAUUUCUUUUGACAACUUCCCAUACUAUUUAAGGAAGGGAGAUGGAGAUUGUUGUCAACCUUGAGCAAAUCAUGUGUAUAAUUACUACGGAUGAAGUGAUUCUCAUGAAUUCACUGGAUAGUAUUGUCGGUCGGUACAAGUCACAGUUAUGCAAUCGGCUCAGGAAAGAAAAGUAUGAACUUUGGUUGCAUUGCUUCAAGGUAUUGAAUCUAACUCCAUUGCUAUUCCACAUUCAACAACCAAUUAUAACAAUAGCAGGAUGCAAAACAGAUCCAAAAUGGAAGUUGAAACAGAAGCAAAACAGGUAGCCACAUUGUGUAUGAUUGUAUUCACUUAUUUGAGAAGCCAAAGUUAUUCUUAUGCACUUUUUAGUUCAGUAGCAGUCUCAUUAUUUCACUUAGCCGUAUCUCUCCUAAAAUUUGUUCUCUCUUAUUUUCAUGAUAAACUUUUUGCUCAUGCUUUAGUGGUUAAAUGAUUCUAGCAGCAUUCGUGUUUCGAAUGAACUCGGGGUUCGUAAUCCACAGGCCGCACGUUUGACAAUGUGCAUUAUUUUGCAAGUACGGUGGCGUAUGAUAACUAUUAAUUCGUUACAAAUGUUCUCCUUUUAAUUUAUGAUUUUGGCACUGCUAGAGGAUGCGAUUGGCAGAAAAUUUGUGCUUACAUCAAUAUGGGAACAUACUAUUUAUGUCAAUCGAAGAGUUUUGGCAGAGGGAUGAAAUUCUCAGUUUGGAUGUAAAUAUCACAGGCGGCUCAUAUAAGCACAUUAAAGCUUCAAAUGGUAGAGUUAUUCAGUAUUCAUAAGGAUUCUAAAGUUUUGAACCACAAAAGCUUUUGAGAAUAUUGGUAAAAGUGUGCCACCUACAUUGUUUUUACUAACCUUCCACUGUCCCAAAUCAAACUGUAUCUUAAUUGCAUCAGAUUUAGAAUGUUCAUCCGAUUCAUCAUUAGC